CCACCCGCGCCGCCAUCAUAGCUUGCCCCACUCGCGCCGCCAUCACCCUCCACAUCGGCGCCCCAGCUGCUAGACCUGGCCUCCAUGCCAGGAUUGUUAGCCCCUGCUCCCGUCGAUACCUCGGUCCUUCGCCAUGGGGGAGCCCGCUCCCGCCGGUGCCCGGGUCGGUCGCCAAGAUCCCCGCCCUUUGCCCUGCCCGUCCCUUAGCUCCAGCCCCCGCUCUUGCUAGCAAUAGCCCUCGCCCCAAAGCCCCACUCGCUUGCAGUCACGGAAUGGAGAGUAUUUUCAUCAUGUCCAAGCAUACGUUUUCCAGAGCAGCCUCAUUGGUGAGAUCAUCAGUUGUUUUGAGAAGAAGGGCUUCAAUCUCAAGAUUCUGUAAGAAUGUACUAAAUACAAUAAAUAGUAUAGCAUAUCGUGUAUCUGUAAGCAUGGUCUAAAAUACAAUAAAUAGUAAGCAUAAUUAUUGUUACAAACACAUGUAUUUGUAGCCAACUUGUGCAUUGGAAUAAAAUAGGCAAUUAUCAAUAAUCAGGUGCUAGAACGACUAAGUAACAGUAACAUAUUCCCAAAAAUAUGUUGUUGAUCUGAGGUAAUUUUCUAUUAUAUCCCAUAAUCUGAUUCUGUUGGAGACUUGGAGCAUUUAUGAUUAAGUUCCAAUUGUCAAGUAAGAAACAUUCAGUUGUUCUGGGCUAGUGGGCUUCAUUUGGUCCUUAUAAUUUUUUUGGAUUCUUAGUUUCUCAAUGAAUCAUGUUCAUUCUGACUUAUCUGCUAUUCUCAUUUGCAUCUUGUAGGAGUCUUAUCUCCUGUGUACAUAUGGUUGCUUCAUAAUAAGGCAUCUAGUCUUAAAUCUAAUCUACGGUUUGGAAUUUUUUUGGAAAGUAUACCUUGAAGAUGUUUAUUUGUGUUCAAUUUUGUCUAGGCUGAAUAAACAUCAUAUAAACGCUAAAGGGCCUUUUUGGGUUCAAUAAAAUGGACAUUUCAGACCUGUAGCCUAUGUUUUGGCUAAGCAAUAGGUGACUGAAUGCUAAGAAGAUCCUACCAGUUUAGUAUUUUUUAUGUGAUGUAACCAGUACUAUUUUUACGACAAUUUUAUAUGUUACUCUUGAAACUUUGGAGGGUCUCAGUUUUCUUGUUUAUGCACAUAUCACCUGUACACUAUCUAUGCUAAGACAUGAAAUCCUAGACUUCCUAAAUGUUUUAGUUUUCAGUUUGGAAUGGAACCUGACAAUUAAAAACUAUGAGACUAUCCAAUGUUUGAUUAUUAUUCAUGACAAGCUUGCAUUCUUAUAGUUUAGGUGUUUCUUCUGUGCUUUCCAAAACUAGUUCCUGACAGAGGGUUGCGUUCUUUUCUCCAAGGAAAACAGAGUGUUGCUGGUCCAUGGACCAUAGUCCAUUUCUCCAACACAACAGCCAUUGUCUCAGAUAGAUAACCUUCUACAGACAUCUUAUGAUCAAGGGGACAAAUGAGAUCAUGCCAACUCUACUCCAUGUACUGCUGGUGUCACAGGAUUAAUAUACAAUGAAGAUGUUGAUUCUUCUUGGAGUUGCACGAAUGAACCUUGUGAUUGUGAUUAGUUACUUCAAAGCAUUUUUUUGGUCUUAAUGCAUGGAUGGGAGAGUGUCGGAUGCUUCUUCAGAUACUAUUUCUUGGUCCGUCAAAUCUGCUUGACCCAAAUGAAAGUUUUUCUCAAAUGUGGCAAAAAUAAUUGUCUCAUCAAUUGUCAGCGCGCCUGCUUCCAGCAAAGUUUCAGAGAAGGUGGUUAUGCUCUGGAUCAUGCUUAGUACAUUUUCUUCUUCGAUGAAGGCAAGUGAAUGUAGCGGUGGUUGCUACCGUUUUGACUUGUUGUUUCAUCGCCUACACUCUACUAUUCAGAAUCAUCAAAUUCUUUCGUAAUUGAACUCUAUGGUGAUGCUUUACUUGAUUGUAUUAUAUUGAUGCUUAAUCAUAUAUUGAUGAUGAUGAUGAUUCGAGUAUGACCCACGAGAUUAAUUCACACUCCUGAAGGUGAAUGAAGUAUUAUUUGAGGUUUGUAUUAUAUCUGAAGGUAAACGAAGUAUUGUUUGAGGUUUGUAUUCUAUUUGAAGGAAGUGAAGUAUAUUGAUAAAUGCAGCAUGCCAUAUACAUUGCAUGAUUCACUUGCAUAUGAAGUUUUGUCGUGACCUAUGGUCCGACCGUACCGGUACAACUUAGCAUCGUACGUUGCACGAGGAGGGGUACGAUGCGGCUUCAUACCCUUAGAGGUAUGAAGGCAGAGGACAUAUGCAUUGCAUUCAUAUGCAUUCAUUGAAGUGAUAUUUGCAGAUGGUGUGGUUUUAUACUCUAAGAGGGAAGUGUUAUACAACCUAUUGUGGUCAUUCGAGGAAAUGAGAUGGCAUUGGUUAUUUUGGGACUAUUGAGUUCUAUAUCUACAAGUAUUUCUGAUCUCAAUUGUGAUCCCUUUUAAAAUGUUGAUUAAUUCAAUUCUUUUGGUUUAAAUAUCUCGUCAAAAUAAUUUACUUGCUGAGAUAUUUCAUCUCACUCUUGCAUUACUCAAUGCAGGUACUUGAUUCAUAUUGGGAAUGAGGGAAGUAGUAGCACGUCCACCUUCACUCUCAUAAUAACGCUGCCUAGGCACAACCAUGAUUUAAUUAGAAACUUCUUGUCAAGGAUGUUUGUUUUUAACUAGUCGUGCACACUAGUUAAUUCAGUUUAUGUCGUUAUGGUUAUCUUCCCAUUGCUAGCAGAUUAUUAAUGCCUAGUAUGUUUUCUUAUCAUGAUAUUUGUUUAUACUCUGUUGCUUCCACGUUUAUGCAAAUUUCCAAAGGAGAUGUUGUCGAAAUU